GAUGAACGCUGGCGGCGUGCCUAACACAUGCAAGUCGAGCGAUCUCUCCGGAGAGAGCGGCGGACGGGCGAGUAACGCGUGGGUAACCUGCCCUGUACACACGGAUAACAUACCGAAAGGUAUACUAAUACGGGAUAACAUAUGAAAGUCGCAUGGCUUUUAUAUCAAAGCUCCGGCGGUACAGGAUGGACCCGCGUCUGAUUAGCUAAUUGGUAAGGUAAUGGCUUACCAAGGCAACGAUAAGUAGCCGACCUGAGAGGGUGAUCGGCCACACUGGAACUGAGACACGGUCCAGACUCCGACGGGAGGCAGCAGUGGGGAAUAGUGCACAAUGGGCGAAAGCCUGAUGCAGCAACGCCGCGUGAGCGAUGAAGGCCUUCGGGUCGUAAAGCUCUGUCCUCAAGGAAGAUAAUGACGGUACUUGAGGAGGAAGCCCCGGCUAACUACGUGCCAGCAGCCGCAGUAA
rnacentral:rRNA from 1 species